rnacentral:lncRNA from 1 species
AUGGCUCUCACUCUAUCUCUCUAUCUCUCUCUAGCGCUCUCUCUCUCUCUCUCUUUAUCUCUCUUUCUCUCUGUGUCUCUCUCUCCAUCUCUCUUUCUCUAUGUGUCUCUAUCUCUCUUUCUCUGUCGCUCUCUCUCUUUCUCUGUGUCUCUCUCUCUCUGUUCCUCUCUCUCCACCUCUCUUUCUCUGUCUCUCUCUCCAUCUCCCUCUCUAUCUGUCUUUCUCUGUCUCUCUCUCCAUCUCCCUCUCUAUCUCUCUUUCUCUGUGUGUCUCUCUCUCCCUCUCUAUAUCUCUUUCUCUGUCUCUCUCUCCAUCUCCCUCUCUAUAUCUCUUUCUCUGUGUCUCUCUCUCCCUCUCUAUAUCUCUUUCUCUGUGUCUCUCUCUCCAUCUCCCUCUCUAUCUGUCUUUCUCUAUCUCUCUCUCCAUCUCCCUCUCUAUCUCUCUUUCUCUGUGUCUCUCUCCAUCUCCCUCUCUAUCUGUCUUUCUCUGUCUCUCUCUCCAUCUCCCUCUCUAUAUCUCUUUCUCUGUGUCUCUCUCUCCAUCUCCCUCUCUAUAUCUCUUUCUCUGUGUGUCUCUCUCUCCCUCUCUAUCUCUCAUUCUCUGUGUCUCUCUCUCCAUAUCUCCCUCUCUAUAUCUCUUUCUCUGUGUGUCUCUCUCUCCCUCUCUAUCUCUCUUUCUCUGCGUCUCUCUCUCCAUCUCCCUCUCUAUCUCUCUUUCUCUGCGUCUCUCUCUCCAUCUCCCUCUCUAUCUCUCUUUCUCUGUGUGUCUCUCUCUCCAUCUCCCUCUCUAUCUGUCUUUCGCUGUGCGUCUCUCUCUCUGUCCCUCUCUCCAUCCCUAUUUCUCUGUGUCUCUCUCUCCAUCUCUCUCUCUGUCUUUCUCUGUGUGCCUCUCUCUCUCUAUCCCUCUCUCCAUCUCUCUUUCUCUGUCUCUCUCUCUCUCGCAUUUCCCUCUCUAUCUGUCUUACUCUUUGUGUCUCUCCUACUCUUUUUCUCUCUUCCUCUCGUGGUGUCUCCCUCUCUUCUCUGCUAUUUCCCAGCCUUCUGUAAAUUACACUGGCCCGCUGAUGUGAACUCUCACUCCACUGGGGAAAUGUCCCAGACGCUUUAUGGGCCAAGCCCUGACGGCCCAUCUAUCUCACACACACAAACACACAUACACAUUACACCACCAUUACAGAGCAUCACACACACACACACAUACACUUUACACCACCAUUACAGAGCAUCACACACACACACACACACAUACACUUUACACCACCAUUACAGAGCAUCACACACACACCCACACACACACACACACACACACACACACACACACACACACACACAUACACAUUACACCACCAUUACACCACCAUUACACCACCAUUACAGAGCAUCACACACAGCAUCUCAGACAGGCAGUGCAGAAAGUGCCACGUUCCAUGUCAGCCAUUUCACAACGUCUUGUCGUCGGGAGGCUAUGAGACAGCAGAAUGAACAUGAGAUGUAA